rnacentral:rRNA from 1 species
AUGAACUUAAUGAGGAGGGACAACCCUGCAGUACCAGAUGACUAUUAUAUGCAUAGUUUCAUUGCUGUGCUAAACACUUACAUCCAAAGUCACCUGGAAUGUUUAGAACCUACAGACAUGAACAAAGCUAUGUGGUUAGCCAGAAGAAUUGAAAAGUCUUGUCCUCCUGCCAUUACUCAGAAACCCUAUGUGCCGAACUACACAAGAGGAACUACACGAGAAAUAUCUAAACCUGUACUUCCUGCUUCUGUUAUACAACAAGCUAGAGAAAAGGGCAUUUGUUAUAAAUGCAGAGAACCAUGGUUCCCAGGGCACAAGCAAGUGUGCAAGAUGUCACAAAAAGCACAAGUUCAGGCACUGCAAGAACAAGGAGAAAACCCUGACAUUAUCUACAUAGUAGAUGCAGAGGAGCUACAAUCAUAUGGGGAUGAAGAACCUCUUGAUAACCAAGAGCUCAAAAUUUCCAUGCAUGCAACUACAGGAGUACCUGAAGAGAAAAAGGAACAUACUUUUACUCUCCAGGUCCAAAUUGGAAAAACAGUGGGUCUAGCCUUGGUGGAUAGUGGAAGCACUACUACUUUCAUCUCCCCUGCUCUUGCUUUACAAUCUGGAUGCCCUGCCACAGCAGUAAAACAAGUCCAAGUGACAGUAGCAAAUUAUACAGUGAUUUUUCUCUCCACAACAUCAAGUACAACAUCCAAGGAGUAG